UACGUAGGGGGCAAGCGUUGUCCGGAAUUAUUGGGCGUAAAGAGCGCGUAGGCGGUCCGGUAAGUCGGUUGUGAAAGUCGGGGGCUCAACCCUCGGAUGCCGAUCGAUACUGUCGGGCUAGAGUCCGGAAGAGGCGAGUGGAAUUCCUGGUGUAGCGGUGAAAUGCGCAGAUAUCAGGAGGAACACCAGUGGCGAAGGCAGCUCGCUGGGACUGUACUGACGCUGAGGCGCGAAAGCGUGGGGAGCGAACAGG
rnacentral:rRNA from 1 species